AGGAUAUCUAAAGAAAAAUCCUGAAUUUUCAUCAUCAGUUUUAUAUCAUCGAUGACUUGAUUCCACAGUGAUACAUAUAAGAUGAAUUUGAUUACAGUCGAAUAGAAUUGAUAUUUUCUCCAUAAAUUUAUACACUCGUUCUUCGAUGAAGCAGUAUUCUUUUACCGAAACUUCCUUUAGUAGUUUGCGGUCAGAAUAUAUUUUUCUUUCUUCUGUGUAUGCUUUCUAUUUCAAAUUAUCUUAUUUUAUUUUUGCAGUAUUGGUAUCUCUUUCACUUUUUAACAAUGUAUCAAUUAAUAAUAUGCCAUUAAUUGUACUUCAUA